GAUGAACGCUGGCGGCGUGCCUAAUACAUGCAAGUCGAGCGAACGGACGAGAAGCUUGCUUUUCUGAUGUUAGCGGCGGACGGGUGAGUAACACGUGGAUAACCUACCUAUAAGACUGGGAUAACUUCGGGAAACCGGAGCUAAUACCGGAUAAUAUUUUGAACCGCAUGGUUCAAAAGUGAAAGACGGUCUUGCUGUCACUUAUAGAUGGAUCCGCGCUGCAUUAGCUAGUUGGUAAGGUAACGGCUUACCAAGGCAACGAUGCAUAGCCGACCUGAGAGGGUGAUCGGCCACACUGGAACUGAGACACGGUCCAGACUCCUACGGGAGGCAGCAGUAGGGAAUCUUCCGCAAUGGGCGAAAGCCUGACGGAGCAACGCCGCGUGAGUGACGAAGGUCUUCGGAUCGUAAAACUCUGUUAUUAGGGAAGAACAUAUGUGUAAGUAACUGUGCACAUCUUGACGGUACCUAAUCAGAAAGCCACGGCUAACUACGUGCCAGCAGCCGCGGUAAUACGUAGGUGGCAAGCGUUAUCCGGAAUUAUUGGGCGUAAAGCGCGCGUAGGCGGUUUUUUAAGUCUGAUGUGAAAGCCCACGGCUCAACCGUGGAGGGUCAUUGGAAACUGGAAAACUUGAGUGCAGAAGAGGAAAGUGGAAUUCCAUGUGUAGCGGUGAAAUGCGCAGAGAUGUGGAGGAACACCAGUGGCGAAGGCGACUUUCUGGUCUGUAACUGACGCUGAUGUGCGAAAGCGUGGGGAUCAAACAGGAUUAGAUACCCUGGUAGUCCACGCCGUAAACGAUGAGUGCUAAGUGUUAGGGGGUUUCCGCCCCUUAGUGCUGCAGCUAACGCAUUAAGCACUCCGCCUGGGGAGUACGACCGCAAGGUUGAAACUCAAAGGAAUUGACGGGGGCCCGCACAAGCGGUGGAGCAUGUGGUUUAAUUCGAAGCAACGCGAAGAACCUUACCAAAUCUUGACAUCCUUUGACAACUCUAGAGAUAGAGCCUUCCCCUUCGGGGGACAAAGUGACAGGUGGUGCAUGGUUGUCGUCAGCUCGUGUCGUGAGAUGUUGGGUUAAGUCCCGCAACGAGCGCAACCCUUAAGCUUAGUUGCCAUCAUUAAGUUGGGCACUCUAAGUUGACUGCCGGUGACAAACCGGAGGAAGGUGGGGAUGACGUCAAAUCAUCAUGCCCCUUAUGAUUUGGGCUACACACGUGCUACAAUGGACAAUACAAAGGGCAGCGAAACCGCGAGGUCAAGCAAAUCCCAUAAAGUUGUUCUCAGUUCGGAUUGUAGUCUGCAACUCGACUACAUGAAGCUGGAAUCGCUAGUAAUCGUAGAUCAGCAUGCUACGGUGAAUACGUUCCCGGGUCU
rnacentral:rRNA from 1 species